GAAGAAGAAGAACAGAAGGAGAAGGUCGGGCCCAACUUCGGCCUGAGUUUAGUAAUGGCUUGGCAGAAGAUCACAGUAUGGGUUGAGGAUGGGUUUACCGGUAUGAGUCGGGUUCAUCCCAUCAACGGCGAUUUGCAUCAGUCAACAAAUGGUAGAAAUAUCCAGGUGGCUCUGAUCUUGAGGGAAUCUCUUUGAAGAAAUUUGGAAGGGGAUUUUCCAGUUCCGACAGGGUCCCUGGUUUCUCUUCACCGAUAUUCAUCUCAAUAUGCACGUAUACAUCGAAUUUACGUAUGGUAUACACUAAGACAGUACAUUGGCAUGCACUGAGAUCGUAUGGUCGCAUGUGAGUAUAAACAGCCGCCUUCACAAGUUUGUAACACAGAAGCGAGAAGUCGUUGGCCGAGCCCGUUUCAGGCACACUCUCCUCCGAGUAGGCUCCUUCGCUGUCUGACAUUUUGGAUGAUCCGAGGUCUCUUAGUAUUACAGAGUAGCCGUGGACCGAUUCUAGAUCAAUUUGAUCUUGAUCGAUGCCGAUAAUGUGUGAGACUGGCUUGGGAGGCAAAUGGGUGCACAAACGAUUCUUGUGGAGCUAUACUUGUGUUCUUCGGAGAUGAGCAGAUUCCUUGAGAUGCAAACCAGCUGGAUAUCAUCCACUGAGACCCUGUGGAGGAACAGUUACUUGUGCGACAUGAAGAGACAAGGGAAAAUUACCGAGAAACUUGACUCCUUUCAAAUGUUCGGAUGCGUGCGGCCCCGCGUUGGACUUGAGCGCGAAGCUAUAUGUUAGUUUCCACUCAAUACUCGAGGGAUGGACGUAUACGAGCCUGUGAAAGGAGACAAAAAUUUUGUACAAUUCCAUGGUUUAUGUCCCAACACCGUCAAGCUGAAUCGCUCUCAUCUGACAACAAUGGCUGUGUUGAAUUAAUAACCAUACGCAUACAUUGAGAUCUCCAAAAGAUAUAACCCGAAAGUGAGCCAUCUCCUAUCCUUAUCAUUGUAGCAGUGUGGGUUCCGGAAAUCAAGUAGAAGUAAAUUGCAAAUCUUCCCCGCACGCACGACUGUGAGUAAUUCUGCUUGUAGGGAAGUUAUUGGACAAGAGCGAAGCCACUUGCCCAUCAGAUGGUUGCGAAAUCGCACAUUCAGCCAUACAUAAACCAGGUAAAUCUGCAUCUAUUGUGUCCAGUUGAGUUUCUCCUGCAGUUUCUGACAAUUGUCAUGUCUUCCUGGACAGAGCUGCAGAAAUGGAUUUUGCCCAGUGAGGAAUCUCUCGUUGGAUUUCCUGCAUUGCCAUCGUGGAUGUUCUUUUGCCUCAAAGCUGCUCUCAAGAGCAUGAAUGGGGCACUUUCACAACUUUUAGAAUCUCGUGUGGUAGAGUUGAAGCUUGUGCACAACACAAGUGAGGAUAAAUUGGAGGUAAUUUAAGUAUCUUUUCAAUUCAGCUUAGCACUUGAACACUCCGGUUAUCUAUAUAGAAUAUGAUCCAAUUACAAGUGCAAAAGUCAGCAUGUUCUUAAAAACUUGUGGAGGAAGAUCGCGGAACGAGCGAGCAUAACCAGGAACUUGCACUUCAACCGAAACAGAAUCAAAGAAAAAGACAGUCCACUCGUAUAUAUCAUGAGGAAAAGCUGUACUUAUUCAAAAUCUGAAGUAUCCUCAAAUAAAAAGACGCAGUUCUUCUUUUUUUUUUC